AUCCAAAUGAAAAUUCCCAAGUAGGACGAAACACGUGUCCUGGAU
rnacentral:hammerhead_ribozyme from 1 species